GACGAACGCUGGCGGCGUGCUUAACACAUGCAAGUCGAACGGUGAAGGGACCGGUUUUUGCUGGUUCUGGAUGAGUGGCGAACGGGUGAGUAGCACGUGAGUAACCUGCCCCCUUCUUCUGGAUAACCGCAUGAAAGUGUGGCUAAUACGGGAUAUUCUGCGCCUGCUGCAUGGUGGGUGUGGGAAAGAUAUUGUUUCGGUGGGGGAUGGGCUCGCGGCCUAUCAGCUUGUUGGUGGGGUGAUGGCCUACCAAGGCGGUGACGGGUAGCCGGCCUGAGAGGGUGGACGGUCACACUGGGACUGAGACACGGCCCAGACUCCUACGGGAGGCAGCAGUGGGGAAUAUUGCACAAUGGGCGCAAGCCUGAUGCAGCGACGCCGCGUGAGGGAUGGAGGCCUUCGGGUUGUAAACCUCUUUCGCCAGUGAAGCAGGCCUGUCCCUUUUGUGGGUGGGUUGACGGUAGCUGGAUAAGAAGCGCCGGCUAACUACGUG
rnacentral:rRNA from 1 species